UGGAAACUUGGAGAUUUCAAAUCGCACCAUGGGACAAUGAAGCAAACAUCAGGGACAAAAUUUUUGAUUCUCUGUGUGUUGCAGAGGACAGCUGAACCCAGGUUUUCUUACUGACCUGCAAACAGAUGGAUGGAGCUGGCCGGGAUCCUGUGGGCCACAUCGCAGAGGAAGCUCAUCUUGAACAGUGCGCCCCUGAGUUACGGACAGUCUAGUUGUGGACUGUCACCCACGCGAGUGGACCUCACAUUAGGAGGAUGCGUAGAUGCGGAGAAGUCACGGUGGGAACUGCCGUGUUUGCCGGACACUGUCGCCUUGUGCCGCCGUGUGCUCACUGUGCAGCGCUUGGUCAGAGCCUGUGAUGUCAGCAAGCAGAGGAAAGCCACGCUGCAGAGGAGGCUUGGAGUUUUAUGAUUCUCAUUGCAUAUUUGUGUCAAAGGUGACACAAUGUUACUCUUCCACCAGUUGAGGAAGAUCCCCUUCGUGUGUGCCCAUUUCUUUGUCCAUUCACCUGUGGAUGCACACACAGGCUGGACCCACACCUCAGUGCUGUGAGUUGUGCCUCACCACGCAGAGCGUGUCCUGUCUCUUCCACGCCCUCGCUGACACUUACCUUCUCCGUACUCCACGACGGUUGUGCUGACUGGGCGAGAGGCGCCUGCCUCAGUGUGGUUCUGGUUCUGCGUUUCUCUAAUGGCGAUGACAUUGGUCUCACCCUCCCCUAUUUUUAUUGGUAAUCUGUACUUCUUUUGAGAAGUGUCUGUUCAAUUCGUUUGCCCAUUGUUUUGUUAAAUAAAGCAUAGACAGUGAUCACAUCCAUCCCAGGCAGUUUGUUCCUGUACAGGAUACACCUUGAUUUGUCCCCACCCUCUUCCCUUCCCUGUCCACAAAGCUCAGUUUUCAGGUUACCCUCUUUUUCUCAUUUUUCCUUUCCUUUUUUCUCCCUCCCCACUUUCGUAGUUUCCUGUUUCCUUUUGAACAAUUUCUUCCUAUUUCACAAUAUCUAUUGUGCGUUUUGGUUCUUACAUUUUUAGUGUCUCACUCCAGAGGGAUAAGAGGAUAUUUACCCCUGUGUGUCUGAUUUAUUUCACUUAUGAUUAUGGUCUCAAAGUCC